rnacentral:rRNA from 1 species
AGCGAACGCUGGCGGCAGGCUUAACACAUGCAAGUCGAACGCCCCGCAAGGGGAGUGGCAGACGGGUGAGUAACACGUGGGAACGUACCCUUUGGUUCGGAAUAACUUGGGGAAACUCAAGCUAAUACCGGAUAAGCCCUUAUGGGGAAAGGUUUACUGCCGAAGGAUCGGCCUGCGUCUGAUUAGCUAGUUGGUGAGGUAAUGGCUCACCAAGGCGACGAUCAGUAGCUGGUCUGAGAGGAUGAUCAGCCACACUGGGACUGGGACACGGCCCAGACUCCUACGGGAGGCAGCAGUGGGGAAUAUUGGACAAUGGGGGCAACCCUGAUCCAGCCAUGCCGCGUGAGUGAUGAAGGCCUUAGGGUUGUAAAGCUCUUUUACCCGGGACGAUAAUGACUGUACCGGGAGAAUAAGCCCCGGCUAACUUCGUGCCAGCCGCCGCGGUAA